UAGAUACCCUGGUAGUCCGCACGGUAAACGAUGAACACUAGGUGUCGGGAGGAAUCUCGGUGCCGGCGCAAACGCAAUAAGUGUUCCGCCUGGGGAGUACGUUCGCAAGAAUAAAACUCAAAGGAAUUGACGGGGACCCGCACAAGUAGCGGAGCAUGUGGUUUAAUUCGAAGCAACGCGAAGAACCUUACCUAAGCUUGACAUGGGAUUGAAAAGCAAUGUAAAGUUGUAAUAAUACCUUCGGGUAUAC
rnacentral:rRNA from 1 species